rnacentral:lncRNA from 1 species
UUUUGUUGCACAAACAUAUUUUAACAUCACAACUGCAUGCAACAUGCUAAUUGUUUAUAUAACAAAUGUCUUUUUCCUAUUGCUACUGGGAAAUGCUUAUUAAUAUGUUUAAUUUCAAAUUGUACAUUUUUUCUUAAAAACCAAACCGAAACCGUUUGAAACCGCACCGAACCAAACCAAACGAUUUGGUUUCAUUUCGGUUUUGGCUUCAAAACCGCACCGAACCAAACCGCAAACAAUUUUGGUUUCGGUUUUGGUUUCACUCAAAACCGCACCAAACCAAACCGUGCCCACCCCUAC